rnacentral:rRNA from 1 species
GGAGUCUGGUCCGUGUCUCAGUACCAGUGUGGGGGACCUUCCUCUCAGAACCCCUAACGAUCGUUGGCCAGGUGGGCCGUUACCCCGCCUGCUGCCUAAUCGUACGCAUCCCCAUCCAUCGGCGACCGAAGUCUUUCGUGAAAAUCAGAGGCCUUCUUCUCACAACAUCAGGUAUUAGGCUCCCUUUCGGGAGUUUAUCCCUGACCCAUGGGCAGGUUGGAUACGCGUUACUCACCCGUGCGCCGGUCGCCGGCAAUUAAAGCAAGCUUCAAUCCCGCUGCCCCUCGACUUGCAUGUGUUAGGCCUGUCGCUAGCGUUCAUC